UUAUGUUGUAGUCUCCGACCAAAACUCCGGCGUCUCCCCUGUUCCUUCUGAAAAACAGAACAGCCUUCUCCUGGGUGAAAAUCCUGUGUUUACUUGAUCACCCGUCCACCCCGACCUCCUCCUUAUGCAGACUUAAGUUGAUAUUUAAGGCAAUUUAUUUUGUAGCCUAAAGAUGAAUUUUAUAAUUGGUAACCUUUCUGAUAACAGACAAUGAAUGAGACUAUGUGAUAUAAGUAAGGGAUAAUGUACAGCAAGCCGGUCAUUGUUGUGAAAGAAUCCCCGACAGGGCGAUGCUUCACGGAGGGGUCUCUCAUCACCCUGAAGGGGAUUCUUUCACAACAAUGACUCGCUAGCUGAACAUUAAACUUUUAAGAGAGCAACCAAAUCCUGUUUAAUUCAGCGACAAACCUGUACUCAUGUUUAGUUUUUAAAUGUAAUGUUUUUAAA